GGCGAACGGGUGAGUAACACGUGGGCAACCUGCCCCUCGCAGGGGGACAACCGGAGGAAACUCCGGCUAAUACCCCGUACGCUUGUUGGGUCGCAUGGCCCGGCAAGGAAAGGUAGCUUCGGCCAUCCGGCGAGGGAUGGGCCCGCGUUGCAUUAGCUAGUUGGUGGGGUAACGGCCCACCAAGGCGACAAUGCGUAGCUGGUCUGAGAGGAUGAUCAGCCACACUGGGACUGAGACACGGCCCAGACUCCUACGGGAGGCAGCAGCCAGGAAUCUUGGGCAAUGGGCGAAAGCCUGACCCAGCAACACCGUGUGGGCGACGAAGGCCUUAGGGUCGUAAAGCCCUGUUGAUAGGGACGAAGGGCGAAGGGUUAAUAGCCCCUAGCUUGACGGUACCUUUCGAGGAAGCCCCGGCUAACUACGUGCCAGCAGCCGCGGUAAUACGUAGGGGGCGAGCGUUGUCCGGAAUUAUUGGGCGUAAAGAGCGUGUAGGCGGUUCGAUAAGUCUGCUGUGAAAUUCUGGGGCUCAACCCCGGGCGUGCAGCGGAUACUGCCGGGCUAGAGGAUGGUAGAGGCGAGUGGAAUUCCGAGUGUAGCGGUGAAAUGCGCAGAUAUUCGGAGGAACACCAGUAGCGAAGGCGGCUCGCUGGGCCAUUCCUGACGCUGAGACGCGAAAGCGUGGGGAGCGAACAGGAUUAGAUACCCUGGUAGUCCACGCCGUAAACGAUGGACACUGGGUGUGGGGGGAGUCGAAUCCCUCUGUGCCGAAGUUAACGCGUUAAGUGUCCCGCCUGGGGAGUACGGCCGCAAGGCUAAAACUCAAAGGAAUUGACGG
rnacentral:rRNA from 1 species